rnacentral:rRNA from 1 species
UACGGCGUAAACGUGUUAAGCACCAUACCAAAUAGGGUUAAAUUCUAACUAAGCUGUAAAAAGCCAUGAUUAAAAUAAAAAUAAAUGACGAAAGUGACCCUACAAUAGCCGACGCACUAUAGCUAAGACCCAAACUGGGAUUAGAUACCCCACAA